CAGGCCUAACACAUGCAAGUCGAGCGGGGAAGGUUGCUUCGGUAACUGACCUAGCGGCGGACGGGUGAGUAAUGCUUAGGAAUCUGCCAUUUAGUGGGGGACAACAUUCCGAAAGGAAUGCUAAUACCGCAUACGUCCUACGGGAGAAAGCAGGGGAUCUUCGGACCUUGCGCUAAAUGAUGAGCCUAAGUCGGAUUAGCUAGUUGGUGGGGUAAAGGCCUACCAAGGCGACGAUCUGUAGCGGGUCUGAGAGGAUGAUCUGCCACACUGGGACUGAGACACGGCCCAGACUCCUACGGGAGGCAGCAGUGGGGAAUAUUGGACAAUGGGCGCAAGCCUGAUCCAGCCAUGCCGCGUGUGUGAAGAAGGCCUUUUGGUUGUAAAGCACUUUAAGCGAGGA
rnacentral:rRNA from 1 species